rnacentral:rRNA from 1 species
UACGUAGGGGGCAAGCGUUGUCCGGAUUUAUUGGGCGUAAAGAGCGUGUAGGCGGCCUGACAAGUCUGCUGUGAAAACUCGAGGCUCAACCUCGAGAUGUCGGCGGAAACUGUCUGGCUAGAGUCCGGAAGAGGAGAGUGGAAUUCCUGGUGUAGCGGUGAAAUGCGCAGAUAUCAGGAAGAACACCUAUGGCGAAGGCAGCUCUCUGGGACGGUACCGACGCUGAGACGCGAAAGCGUGGGGAGCGAACAGG